rnacentral:rRNA from 1 species
AUGGAUUUAUAUUGGGAUUCGUUUUGGUAUUUUGGUAUUUCUUGGUUAGGAAAGCAUCGUCAUGAACAUAACCAGUUGCCUAUGAGACAAUGGCCGAAGAAACAAAUACAAAAAUCCACGUUAAUUCUAAUAGCUAUCAGUGUGCCCGUGCUAGGUAGCCUAGUGGCGGCCAUCGCUGUUGGACCAGUGCUUUGGGUGUUUCUGUCAACUCUUGUAAGAGAAGACUAUGGCAUCACGGACAGAGAGGCAACUAAAGCAAAUAUGAAGCGGGCGCUGAACUUAUUCUACUACGCAGCUUCUGCUCACGGCUUCCUAUGCACAUUGUGGGUGAUGACUCAAACGGUUGCUAAUAAUUUGCUCGUGAAUAUUGUUAGCGGACAACAUGGUUUCAGCCCCAAGGUACUCCGGGCAUAUAUACGCAAAACAAAACAGAUGUGUGUAAAUUACCACGUGUCCGCAACGAGCUGGAAUUUGAUUACAUAUGGUGCCGGCUUGCUGGAUUCCAGCUUACCAGAGGAAUAUGCGGCUGGAGGAAGGGUACUAACAAUGCUGAUUGAUCAGGAUGUACCGUCACAGACAAGACAGACAGCACGGCUGCUUAUCAGGUCACCAAGACAAAGAAUUCAGAAACUGGUCGGAACCCUUGCAUGGAGAAGCCCAGCCGAGCAAGAGAUGAGAUGGCUUGCGGCAAGGAUUGUGGAGCAUGUCGCUGCCGACCUCAACCUUGCUCAUUUUCCAGGAGCAUUGGAAUGUAUAUCCUCCCUCUUCAACCAAUUACCAGUUGUAGCUGGGCAAGGAAAUAUGGAUCUGAUUUUGCCAGGCUUGAGAAUUCUAGAGAACCUGGCUCAUGAUGAAGAUAACUGCACAGCGAUAUACAAUAACAAGGGCCUUUUCUCAAAAAUAGUUGCGCCUCUCAGCUCCAACGAAUGUGUACAAUAUAUCAAGAGCAGUGCUGCAUGGACUGAGGUAGUACACAGGUCACUGAGAGUGGUGAAGCAGCUCAUGAUAUCUCCAGGACUCACCGGCAAAGAGAUCAGAAGCCUAAUUACAGAUGAUAGUCAUGUGGUCAGAAACUUGGAGGCCGUACUGGAUAUUGAUAUGAAGAGUAAUAGCAGUAUCAUAGAGCUACAGAUGGGAACUUUAAAGGCUCUUACACAAUUAGCAUUGCAUCAUCCAACAAGUACUUCUGCAGAAAAACUUAUUGAGAGGGCACUGCACAUAUUCAUUUCCAUAGAUUGGAUGGAAGAUUAUUUGAAACAUGAGAAUGACAUGAUGGAAGAAGCUAAGAAAACUGCAAACCGGCUAAAAGAAAGUGCUGGUUUGGCAUUGGAAAUGCUGUCCAGUGAUCCAGAGGCGGUCAAGGGCUUCACAGUGUGCGAAGAUGAUGUCCAUCAUCUUACUGAAUUGCUCGACUGCAAUGUCAAUACCAUCGAGUGCAAAAUAAGUGCAACAGAUACUGUGGAAAUAGAGAUCAGCAUGGACUGUCGUAUUAGUGCAACAGUCAUCUUGAAGCAUUUGAGCAACUAUGUGAAGGCGCCAACCUUACGGAAGGCACUCGGGCAAUUGCUUCCUGUACAACAAGACGCACCUUCCACAUCACGGAGCCACAUCAACAACAGGACGCUGCAAGCAACACUAUUAUCACUCGUCGUGACGAUUUGUGUGAACAACAAUAUUAAUCUUGCAGGAAUCUUACUUUCGCAAACGCCGCCAGAUACCCUGGAAGACUUUGUGGUGAGGCUCAAGAAUAUGGUGGAGGACAACAUGUACGGCACCCAUAUGUGUUUGGCGAUACAGAAGCUUACCUGCAAGAUGGUUACAGAAUUCAUGAAGCAUGAUCGAAACGUCGAAGUGAUCGACAGGCACAAUAUCGUUGGCACGUUAUUGGAGGCUUCAAAGACGAUGGCCGAGCUUGAGAGCAGCAUGCUUUUUGCGGGCAUCAAUCAUCAUGAUCGUUGCGGGGUUCCUCUCACGCCUUUCUCUUCUGUUCUCGCUAAAAAUGCAGAAGAUCUUCUGACACAGAGGAAACAGGCUCUGGGCAUCAACACUGUGCCUGCUGGUUUGCCAGUACCACUACCAUGA